CAUCACAUCCUGGGGCUGUAGUAGGUCCCAAGGGUUGGGCUGUUCGCCCAUUAAAGUGGUACGCGAGCUGGGUUCAGAACGUCGUGAGACCGUUCGGUCCCUAUCCGUCGCAGGCGUAGGAAAUUUGAGAAGACCUGUCCUUAGUACGAGAGGACCGGGAUGGACGUACCUCUGGUGUACCAGUUGUCCUGCCAAGGGCAUGGCUGGGUAGCUAUGUACGGAAUGGAUAAGCGCUGAAAGCAUCUAAGCGCGAAGCCAACUUCAAGAUAAGAUUUCCCACCGCAAGGGUAAGACCCCAGAAAGACUAUCUGGUUGAUAGGUCGAAGGUGUAAGU
rnacentral:rRNA from 1 species